GACGAACGCUGGCGGCGUGCCUAACACAUGCAAGUCGAACGGAGUGUUUAUUUAUAAACACUUAGUGGCGAACGGGUGAGUAACGCGUAGACAACCUACCCUCUAGAUGGGGACAACACCGCGAAAGUGGUGCUAAUACCGAAUGUUGUAAUGUUAUUGCAUAAUGAUAUUACUAAAGGUGGCCUCUAUAUAAAAGCUACCGCUAGAAGAUGGGUCUGCGUCUGAUUAGCUAGUUGGUGAGAUAACAGCUCACCAAGGCAAUGAUCAGUAGCCGGUCUGAGAGGAUGAGCGGCCACACUGGGACUGAGACACGGCCCAGACUCCUACGGGAGGCAGCAGUGGGGAAUCUUCCGCAAUGGACGAAAGUCUGACGGAGCAACGCCGCGUGAGUGAAGAAGGUUUUCGGAUCGUAAAGCUCUGUCUUCAAGGACGAAUGUAGAUAUUGUGAAUAAUGAUAUUUAAUGACGGUACUUGAGGAGGAAGCCACGGCUAACUACGUGCCAGCCGCCGCGGUAAAAC
rnacentral:rRNA from 1 species